GAUUUAUUUUCCCUCUAAGAUAAGAAAUCGCCACUUCCCUAGAGCUUUUCUCUCUCGAUCAAACUAAAAACCCUAUCUAAAUUCUAAAGAUUUAAUUCAAACCUCCUCUUUUCUGCCUCUGCAGGAUUCGUUGAUUGAGACAGCGUGUGUUGAUCUAUAUCUUCUGCAAAUCAAGUAUCAUGGCUCUUGCUCAGAAUUACCAAACACAAACUGGCCCUUUUCGCAGUUAUGGUAGAAACCAUCUAACUAGCCACAGUUAUACUCCUGCUGCAACCAAUUCCUCCAACUACAGUCAGUACCUCGAUAGCAGUUUUAGGCAUCUAGGAAACCAAGAUAUCUCAAAUGACUUACUUAAAGAUUUUAGGGAGUAUAACUACAAUUAUGAUAGCUAUGUGAAGCCUGAGGUUGAACCUUCUUCAAAGCGAAGAAAGUUUUCAUCUUCUUCAUGGGGAAAUAAUGGGUGGUACAGUCAGCAAACGAAUGCUUGUACUAUGCUUCCACCAGGACAACAAAGUACACAUAAUAAUGCGCUCCCCAGGAAUCAGAGUGUGUUUGAUAACAUCAGCUCAGGCCAGAAUAAUAAUUCAGCCAUUACUACAACUGUUAAUACUAGUAAUGUGCCUUAUUCCAAUGGGUAUACUUCUGCUUCCUUCAAGUGUAAUCAGUCAGAGUUUGAAGGUGACAACAAUGAUGUGGCCUUUAUGUCUAGAGAGGAAAUUGAGAGAUGCUCACCAUCUAGGAAAGAUGGUAUUGAUGUGGUGCUUGAAAUGCAUUUGCGAUAUUCAUAUUGCGCUUUUCUUCAGAGCCUUGGAAUUCGGUUGGAGCUGCCACAAACAACCAUUGGGACUGCCAUGGUUUUGUGCCACCGUUUCUUUGUUCGUAGGUCUCAUGCUUGUCAUGAUAGAUUUUUGAUUGCUACUGCUGCUCUCUUCCUAGCUGCAAAGUCAGAAGAGACACCAUGCCUUCUCAACAAUAUUCUAAGAGCAUCAUGUGAAAUUUUCCACAAGCAGGACUUUUCUUAUUUGUCAUAUCUGCUUCCUGCUGAGUGGUUUGAGCAAUACCGAGAACGGAUUAUUGAGGCUGAGCAAAUGAUAUUGACAACUUUAAAUUUUGAACUCAAUGUGCUGCAUCCAUAUGCUCCUCUUACAUCUACUCUUGAGAAAUUAGGCUUUUCUCAAUCGGUUUUGGUGAAUAUGGCAUUAAACUUGAUCAGUGAAGGGAUUUAUAGAAGGAUUAUCAUGCUCUCACACUGUAUGCUAUUGUUAGCCGGAGGUUGAUUCACCAAAUGUUUUGUUUUUCGUCUGAAGUUAACUAGCCUUUUCCUGUGGAUGAUUUUUCAGUGAUGACAACUUAGUAUCAUGUCAUUGGCCCAAUAGAAGAUAGUCAGAUGCUCCCGAAGCAAUUUUUGCUAUGGCACUUUCUGUUUUUUCACUUUAGAUGGAUGAAUCCAUGCUGAAACUAUAUACCUAUUUGUUUGGUGUCCAUAUAGGCCAUUAAACCUGAAAAAAGGUGUUUGGUGAGUAUUUUGCUUGAAAAUUUUGGGGCACCUUUAGUGGGCAGCCUUGUCCUGGACUCCAGGGUAUGGUUAGAUGGGAUUAUAUUCUUAAUAUAUCUUCUGGGCCAUAUCUUUUCUCUCAAGUCUCAACUUUACAUGUUGCCCACUUGUCCAUAAGCGGCAUGAAACAACUUUACAUCCUGUGUUUUUUAAAUUUAUUUUUAUUUUAUUUUACAUUUUUUGAGGUGGGGGUGUACCAAAACGCACAAUUUUAUACCCAGUUUUCUGUCAACAAUCAGCUCCCAUCCUUUUGUUUUUAUUUUAUAUUUGGAGAGAUGUUGGGAGGAUAUGGCAGAAGGUUGGAAGUGAAAAUGUUAAUUUAGUUUGUUUUUGAGAUUUGAGGUGAUCUUUGGAACGAUAGUGAUUCUUCAAGAUGUAAUUCAUUGAUGCUGCAUUUUAUUUUUGAAGAUCAUGAUUUGUUUACUUGAUGUCUGGUUCUUCUAACAAGUGUGAAUACAACAAGGCUAAGGAAUUCAUUAAAAAUUUAUUGGUGAUGAAUGAUGAGUUGAUGCUUUCCUUUUCCUGAAAUGCUAUCAGAUCAUAAAUUGGGCCUUCUCUCCUGUCCUACUCUAACAUUCUUAGUCCACAAUCAGUUGCCAUUGUUUCUUGUUGGGCAGUUCUCCAAUUCCUUGGUUAUUUCAAAUUCUUAGUCUUCUGUCUCACCAAAAACAAUGCAAGGCUUCCCUUGUUCUUCUUACCCUCUUUACUUCUGGAAUGUAUAAAUCCUCCACCACCUGCUCAAUGGAUUUAAAGAAACAGAAAACACAGAGUCCUCUUUAUAUGAUUGUUAAGAUUGUCUACUGUCUACGUCCUAGCAAAUUUGGGAGACAAUACAUCUUGCAAUGUAUCUGUUUUGAUGUCAAAAAGCAGAUUUGCAAUAUGGUUUAAACUCAUAACUCACAAUCCAUUGAGGAUUCAUAUUCUGGCUCAGCCGCUCAGGUGUAGGUGUACUGGCUGUCUGGCAGGCUUUUGAUACUCUGGAUGCUUGAGAAUGCUCGACUGUAAAUAGUCAUCUUUUUUCUGGGUCAUGAUAAGUUAUGUGAUUGCCAAAUUUUGAUCAACUAUUACAGUGUGGCUUUGGCCUUUGGCCUUUGGGUGGGAAUAUGCUCCUAGUUCAAUAGGCUUGUGACUGGCCUCCUGUGUCUUAGAUGAAUUAGGAUUCGUCAAGCAAGUAUUUUUCAGAGGUGUAGAGUAUAUUGUAAUUGGCAGGUUUUUUUUUACUUUGCACUGUAGUCUGCAUUGUAAACUUUGGUUAUAUGAGCAGUACUCCAAAUAUUCGUGUACAUUUGAAUGAAGGUAUUGCAAGUUGGGAUGUUCUCGGGCUGGUCAAUGUACCCUCUUUGCUUCUAUUCUUGAAAUGUGUAUAUCUGUGGUUGAUAUACUGCUGCAAUGGAGUGGAAACUCAAGAGUUGAUGCUCUCUCUCUCUCUCUCUCUCUCUCUCUUCAUGUUUAUAACAUGUUUGCUAGAUUUUUGGUACUAUACCUACAUUCUACAGAAGAUUCUUGGGUUUAUCCAACUCGGUUGCCUCAUUUUUAGUUGACAUGAACUCAAAUGCAAGUGCCCUACUGUUUCUCCAAAUGCUCCGAAGCUCAUUGUGGCUUCAAUUCAAGCCUAAUCAGAUUGCAGCUGGUGCAGCAUACCUUGCUGCAAAACUUUUAAACAUGAAUUUGGCUUCAAAUAAUAUCAUUUGGCAGGAGUUCCAAACACCACCAAAUGUGCUUAGAGAUGUUGCUCGACAAUUGAUGGAGCUCUUGUAGAAGAAAGAAGACAGUGAAAUCCAGAUAGCAAGAAACGAGGGCCUGGUUUCUGUUACACCCAAUACUGGUUUUUAUUUGUUCCAACAAGUAGAUUAGUAGUAGCCUUGUUCGGGUAUGAUUUGGUAUAAAUCAUCCCGUACUUAAGGUUUUAGCUGUACAUAGUUUUGCCUAAUUUUGAGGUUGUUAGAAAGAAUGGAGAUAAAUGAAAUUUCUUUAAUUCUUGUGUUUGUA